GGCGGACGGGUGAGUAACACGUGGGCAACCUGCCCGCAAGACCGGGAUAACUCCGGGAAACCGGAGCUAAUACCGGAUAACACCGAAGACCGCAUGGUCUUUGGUUGAAAGGCGGCCUUUGGCUGUCACUUGCGGAUGGGCCCGCGGCGCAUUAGCUAGUUGGUGAGGUAACGGCUCACCAAGGCGACGAUGCGUAGCCGGCCUGAGAGGGUGACCGGCCACACUGGGACUGAGACACGGCCCAGACUCCUACGGGAGGCAGCAGUAGGGAAUCUUCCGCAAUGGGCGAAAGCCUGACGGAGCGACGCCGCGUGAGCGAAGAAGGCCUUCGGGUCGUAAAGCUCUGUUGUGAGGGACGAAGGAGCGCCGUUCGAAGAGGGCGGCGCGGUGACGGUACCUCACGAGGAAGCCCCGGCUAACUACGUGCCAGCAGCCGCGGUAAUACGUAGGGGGCGAGCGUUGUCCGGAAUUAUUGGGCGUAAAGCGCGCGCAGGCGGUUCCUUAAGUCUGAUGUGAAAGCCCACGGCUCAACCGUGGAGGGUCAUUGGAAACUGGGGGACUUGAGUGCAGGAGAGGAGAGCGGAAUUCCACGUGUAGCGGUGAAAUGCGUA
rnacentral:rRNA from 1 species